ACGUGGGGCGGGCUCUGGCUGCGGCUCGGCCAGGCCGCGCUCGCCGCCGCCUCCAUCGCUGUCAUGGCAACCUUCCUGUCUUGUUUGGGAGUUUUGAGUUUCAGCUAUCUGAUUGCGUCGAUGGGAUUGCAAGCGCUGUGGAUCUUGGGACUUGCAUGUCCUGAUGGAUACGUCCUUAAAGUCAAAAGAGGUCUCAACAAUGCUGUUUUAGUGAGCUUAUUUGUUGUCGGAGACUGGGUCACCCAUCCACGAGGAGCAGAAGGAGGGACGCAUCUAGUUGGCCAUCAAGGACCUGCUCUGCUCCUCUUCCUUGACCAUCUGUACCACCACGUUCCCGGGCUUCCAAGGCGCUCCAGCACACCGCCGCCAUGCCUCCUCUGCUCUUCGGGCUUGGACCAAUCGCUCGCCCCUUCAGGUACACACGUCUCCUGCUAU
rnacentral:rRNA from 1 species